UCCAGCAGGGCACAGAGAAUUGAGUGCAGAAGCUUUGGCUUCGGAUACAAGCACUCCUGCCACUUGAGGAGAAGAUGACUCUGACUUCAGUCUGCAGCAAUAAGUGGGUGCUGCCUUAUCACAGUGUAAGAGCACACAUAUGGCAACUUCUGCAGAGCAGUCCAUCAGGAACUGCACAUCCAGUUUACCCUAAGACAGUGGUGCAGUGAGACCUUGCAGCCAACGCAGCGCCAGUGCAGGACUCCCCAGGGCACGGAAACAGCUGUGGGAAGGGAGGGCAGCGACCACCUCCAUCCCUGCGCUGUGCCAUGGGCUGUGCUGCUGGCCACGACCUGAGCAGAGUGCUCCAAACCCAGCUGUAUGAGUAACAAGAGGAGAAGAAGUAACCGAAGUGGCAGGGGGCAGCCACUCUGACAGCAGGCCGGGGCAUAAGCCAGCCUAAUAAAGUGAGAUUAUU